AUACGGAGGGUGCGAGCGUUAAUCGGAAUUACUGGGCGUAAAGCGUGCGUAGGCGGUUUGUUAAGUCAGAAGUGAAAGCCCUGGGCUCAACCUGGGAACGGCUUUUGAGACUGGCAGACUCGAGUUGAGUAGAGGGGAGUGGAAUUUCCGGUGUAGCGGUGAGAUGCGUAGAGAUCGGAAGGAACACCAGUGGCGAAGGCGACUCCCUGGACUCAAACUGACGCUGAGGUACGAAAGCGUGGGUAGCAAACAGGAUUAGAAACCCUUGUAGUCC
rnacentral:rRNA from 1 species